rnacentral:rRNA from 1 species
AUUGAACGCUGGCGGCAUGCUUUACACAUGCAAGUCGAACGGGCUUAGGGGCUUGCUCCUAAGUUAGUGGCGAACGGGUGAGUAAUACAUCGGAACGUACCGUGUAGUGGGGGAUAACGUAGCGAAAGUUACGCUAAUACCGCAUACGAUCUACGGAUGAAAGUGGGGGACCUUCGGGCCUCACGCUAUACGAGCGGCCGAUGUCUGAUUAGCUAGUUGGUGAGGUAAAGGCUCACCAAGGCAACGAUCAGUAGCGGGUCUGAGAGGAUGAUCCGCCACACUGGGACUGAGACACGGCCCAGACUCCUACGGGAGGCAGCAGUGGGGGAAUUUUUGGACAAUGGGCGAAAGCCUGAUCCAGCCAUGCCGCGUGUCUGAAGAAGGCCUUCGGGUUGUAAGGACUUUUAGUCUAGGGAGCAAAC